GCUAGGAGAAUCAACGAUAAAUUGUCUCACUUCGAUGGUGUACGACUCCUUGCUCUUCUUAAUCCAGAGAUACCCACACUACUACACUAGACUUAGCACUCAUAGUUAGCAAAAGCUCCUUGUUCCUCUUAAUACACAGAUACACACACUUCUACACUGGACUUAACCAUAGUCAGCAAAAUUUCCAUAAGACAAAAUAAACCAGCACGUCAAAGGAUCUACUCAGGAAUCAUUUGCUCGUUGUCUGCAUCACCCUCAUCCUCUAUCUUCGGUUUUGACGGAGUCGGGCCAGA
rnacentral:misc_RNA from 1 species